UACGAAGGGGGCUAGCGUUGCUCGGAAUCACUGGGCGUAAAGGGCGCGUAGGCGGAUCUUUAAGUCGGGGGUGAAAGCCCAGGGCUCAACCCUGGAAUUGCCUUCGAUACUGAAGAUCUCGAGACCGGAAGAGGUAAGUGGAACUGCGAGUGUAGAGGUGAAAUUCGUAGAUAUUCGCAAGAACACCAGUGGCGAAGGCGGCUUACUGGUCCGGUUCUGACGCUGAGGCGCGAAAGCGUGGGGAGCAAACAG
rnacentral:rRNA from 1 species